CAUCACAGGCCUGGAACCAGACUCUGAGUACACUGUUAAAGUCUACACUGAACUCCAACAUGGAGGAAAGAGCCAGCCUGCUUCUCUUAAAAUCAAAACAGAGAUCCCAGUCCCAGAGCGUCUGACUGUGAGCUCCAUCACUGCAUCAUCUGCUAGCCUCAGCUGGCUGGUGUCUCCUGAGAUGGAGCAGACUCCACACAGCUUCCUGGUCUCUUACCAGAGUGAAGGGACUGAGCCAAAGUCCAUCUCUACUGAGUCAUGCAGCACAGACAUCACAGGCCUGAAACCAGUAACUGACUACACUGUUA
ensembl:lncRNA